UGAACCAGCCAAGUAGCGUGCAGGAUGACGGCCCUAUGGGUUGUAAACUGCUUUUGCGCGGGGAUAACACCCUCCACGUGCUGGGGGUCUGCAGGUACCGCGCGAAUAAGGACCGGCUAAUUCCGUGCCAGCAGCCGCGGUAAUACGGAAGGUCCGGGCGUUAUCCGGAUUUAUUGGGUUUAAAGGGAGCGUAGGCCGUGAGGUAAGCGUGUUGUGAAAUGUAGGCGCCCAACGUCUGCACUGCAGCGCGAACUGCCCCACUUGAGUGCGCGCAACGCCGGCGGAACUCGUCGUGUAGCGGUGAAAUGCUUAGAUAUGACGAAGAACCCCGAUUGCGAAGGCAGCUGGCGGGAGCGUAACUGACGCUGAAGCUCGAAAGCGCGGGUAUCGAACAGGAUUAGAUACCCUGGUAGUCCGCGCGGUAAACGAUGGAUGCCCGCUGUUGGCGCGCCUGGCGUGCCGCGGCUAAGCGAAAGCAUUAAGCAUCCCACCUGGGGAGUACGCCGGCAACGGUGAAACUCAAAGGAAUUGACGGGGGCCCGCACAAGCGGAGGAACAUGUGGUUUAAUUCGAUGAUACGCGAGGAACCUUACCCGGGCUUGAACUGCAGGAGAACGAUUCAGAGAUGAUGAGGUCCUUCGGGACUCCUGUGGAGGUGCUGCAUGGUUGUCGUCAGCUCGUGCCGUGAGGUGUCGGCUUAAGUGCCAUAACGAGCGCAACCCCUCUCCGUAGUUGCCAUCGGGUGAUGCCGGGCACUCUGGCGGAACUGCCACCGUAAGG
rnacentral:rRNA from 1 species